rnacentral:lncRNA from 1 species
AAGUGUUUAUGUACAUGAAAAUAUAUAUAUGUAUGUGUGUGCACACAGUAUGGGAGGUGGCAUCUUCAGCUUAAUACAUGACUCAUAAGGAACAUGAAAUUAGGACUGUAUUGCUUUUGGCAUUUGUUUUAUUUUGGUUUCAUAUUGAUAUGUUGCCUGUGCAAAUUUGAAAUGUCUAAUGGCUUUAAUUAAAAUAAUAAUUAUAUUUAUCUAAUUAAACCAAGAAAUAAGACUUUAUUUAGAAGAAUUGAACAGUGUUUUAAUUAAAGUCUUAUUUUUUCUUAUUCGUUACUUUGUAUGAUUUUUUUUUUUUGUCUUUUUAUGCUCAUGGCAUAUGGCGGUUCUCAGGCUAGGGGUUGAAUUGGAGCUGUAGGUGCUGGCCUACACCACAGCCAACAUCAACACCAGAUCUGAGCCAUGUCUUUAACCUAAACUACAGCUCAUGGGAAUACAGGAUCCUUAACCCACUGAGCGAGUCCAGGGAUUGAACCUGCAUCCUCAUGGAUACUGGUUAGAUUUAUUUCUGCUGAGCCACAGAAGGAACUCCACUUUAUAUGAUUUUAAUCAUAAUAUAUUACAUUUAGCCUAAUAGCUUGUGUUUCCAAAUUAAUGUAUUUUAUGACCCCGCCAAAUGUACUCAAUAUUUAAAAAUUAAAACUUAGACCCAAAUCUAAAUGUGACACUGGCAAAACAUAUCGUAAUUUUUUAAGUUUUAGUUUUUAUCUAUGGCCAAUGAUAAAGCUUACAACAGUCAUUUCUUCAUUGAAAUAUCUGACACUUUAAAACAUGUUCACUUCAUUUAUUCACAUCAACUAAAAUCCUUGAUUGUUAUUCUCGAAUUUUCAUGACAGUGCAAAUUUCGUUUAAGACAGUCAUUCCCCCCUUUGGUUGUUUUUCUUUUUUUUUUUUAAUAAAAAGAAUGCUGUCAUUUAUUUCAAAUAUUUAAUUUACUUUCUAUUGUACAAUAUUCUAAGAGGACCAAUGAUGUUUUCCCUGACAUAUCCUUCCUAUGGCGUCCUUUUUAAAAUUUGCUCCAUUGAUUUUACCCUGUUGUGUUUUAAAUAGCGCUAAAAUCAUCAUAGCUGUUUAUGUGCUUUACACUUGUUUAGGAAAAUAGUCAAUCAUUGUGAAAAAUGGCAAUAGAUUAUUUUAGAUAUCUAACAAAAAAUAAAUGUUAAUUUUCAGUAACUUUUGAAGUUAAAAUGUAU